rnacentral:rRNA from 4 species
GAAGGUGGCCUGUGAGGGUUGCUGGAGGUAUCAGAAGUGCGAAUGCUGACAUAAGUAACGAUAAAGCGGGUGAAAAGCCCGCUCGCCGGAAGACCAAGGGUUCCUGUCCAACGUUAAUCGGGGCAGGGUGAGUCGACCCCUAAGGCGAGGCCGAAAGGCGUAGUCGAUGGGAAACGGGUUAAUAUUCCCGUACUUGGUGUUACUGCGAAGGGGGGACGGAGAAGGCUAUGUUGGCCGGGCGACGGUUGUCCCGGUUUAAGCGUGUAGGUGUGUGUUCCAGGUAAAUCCGGUUCACUUUAACACUGAGGCGUGAUGACGAGGCACUACGGUGCUGAAGCAACAAAUGCCCUGCUUCCAGGAAAAGCCUCUAAGCAUCAGGUAACAUCAAAUCGUACCCCAAACCGACACAGGUGGUCAGGUAGAGAAUACCAAGGCGCUUGAGAGAACUCGGGUGAAGGAACUAGGCAAAAUGGUGCCGUAACUUCGGGAGAAGGCACGCUGACACGUAGGUGAAGUGAUUUACUCAUGGAGCUGAAGUCAGUCGAAGAUACCAGCUGGCUGCAACUGUUUAUUAAAAACACAGCACUGUGCAAACACGAAAGUGGACGUAUACGGUGUGACGCCUGCCCGGUGCCGGAAGGUUAAUUGAUGGGGUCAGCGCAAGCGAAGCUCCUGAUCGAAGCCCCGGUAAACGGCGGCCGUAACUAUAACGGUCCUAAGGUAGCGAAAUUCCUUGUCGGGUAAGUUCCGACCUGCACGAAUGGCGUAAUGAUGGCCAGGCUGUCUCCACCCGAGACUCAGUGAAAUUGAACUCGCUGUGAAGAUGCAGUGUACCCGCGGCAAGACGGAAAGACCCCGUGAACCUUUACUAUAGCUUGACACUGAACAUUGAGCCUUGAUGUGUAGGAUAGGUGGGAGGCUUUGAAGUGUGGACGCCAGUCUGCAUGGAGCCGACCUUGAAAUACCACCCUUUAAUGUUUGAUGUUCUAACGUGGACCCGUGAUCCGGGUUGCGGACAGUGUCUGGUGGGUAGUUUGACUGGGGCGGUCUCCUCCUAAAGAGUAACGGAGGAGCACGAAGGUUGGCUAAUCCUGGUCGGACAUCAGGAGGUUAGUGCAAUGGCAUAAGCCAGCUUGACUGCGAGCGUGACGGCGCGAGCAGGUGCGAAAGCAGGUCAUAGUGAUCCGGUGGUUCUGAAUGGAAGGGCCAUCGCUCAACGGAUAAAAGGUACUCCGGGGAUAACAGGCUGAUACCGCCCAAGAGUUCAUAUCGACGGCGGUGUUUGGCACCUCGAUGUCGGCUCAUCACAUCCUGGGGCUGAAGUAGGUCCCAAGGGUAUGGCUGUUCGCCAUUUAAAGUGGUACGCGAGCUGGGUUUAGAACGUCGUGAGACAGUUCGGUCCCUAUCUGCCGUGGGCGCUGGAGAACUGAGGGGGGCUGCUCCUAGUACGAGAGGACCGGAGUGGACGCAUCACUGGUGUUCGGGUUGUCAUGCCAAUGGCACUGCCCGGUAGCUAAAUGCGGAAGAGAUAAGUGCUGAAAGCAUCUAAGCACGAAACUUGCCCCGAGAUGAGUUCUCCCUGAGACUUUAAGUCUCCUGAAGGAACGUUGAAGACGACGACGUUGAUAGGCCGGGUGUGUAAGCGCAGCGAUGCGUUGAGCUAACCGGUACUAAUGAACCGUGAGGCUUAACCUUACAACGCCGAAG